GCUUCAAAAGAACAUUAUAUCAAGCUGGUGUUCUAAAGUUGUAUGGUAAUUUUAGGCUUAAAAAAAAAAAUGUUAAAAAUUCGAUUAUAUCAUUUGUGUUCUAUAACUGAACUUGUUAUCAAUAAGAUAUGUACAGUUCCAUGUUACUUUCUACUUUAAGAUACAAUUUAUGUAUUUUUAAGUUAAUAAGAGCCUAAUCUGUGUGAAGGUUUAAUUGCAAAACACAAAAGUACAUUACUACUUUUCUACAAGAAGUUAAAAGCUUUCAGCCUUUAAUUCAUAUUUUAGGUGUAAUAUUAUGUUGUGUUAGCUAAUGUUCAUGUAAACUUGAACAACAAUUUAUGUAAACUUUGUAAAAUGAUCAGCUUCAGAACUAUAGUACUUGAGAUUUAUAAAGAGCCCUGCCUUACUUGAGAUAAGGCUCUGUCCCAUCUCACUACAUGUGAAAAUGGCUAUAAAAAAAGUAAGCCAGAUUUCAGUACAGUUAAAGUUGUGUCCAAAAGUAGGUUUUUGCCAAGAUUACUAGGAUCUCAAACAGGAAAUUAUGAUGUAUAACCUUGCCAGAAUUCAAGGUAGCUAUUAUAUAAGCUAAAUAUGUUUUUACCCUAGUUAGUUUUGUUUUGUAGUUUGCUUAUAGAUGGUUUAAGGAUUGCCUAUUAAUAUUCUAAAGAGGUAUUGCUUUAAGAACACAACCUGGGUCAACAUAAGAUAAAGAGUUAUCACCUACAGGAUAGAAAGAUAGACAUUAAAGCCCAGUGCUCUUAAUAUAAGGCUGUUAACUUAUUUGCUGGAUGUUUAAGAUCAAGUUUUUAAAAUUAGUUAAAUUAAAAGGGCCAAGAAAACCAAUAUUUGGCUCUUGCCCUCUGAGUCAGUCUGAAUCAGGGAAUAGGGGACUUCUCCAAAGGGCUCAGCAACUCUAGGCCACAUAACCUCCUGAGCAGGGAGAUUAAUGAGACCAGUGGAGGACAGAAAGCCAAAUGGUGCAUUUGCUGUAAAGAGGAGGGUCAUUAAAAAAAGGGAGACAUCCCUGAUGCUUCUGAGGGAAGCCAUAUGGUCAAACAAGGCCUGGACCCAUCCUAGCGCAAAUGGCACUAGCAGAACUGAAAAGCUGCUAUGAAGUUCCCGAGGACUCCCAGGAUAACUCAGCUGACUGUAAACAAUAGGUAGAAACAAAAGUCAGUUUGACUUGCUUCAUCUUAAACACUUAGCAAAGACAGUCAAAGCCAAAGCACAGCUGUUCCUGGACAUCUUAAAUGAUAAUAAUAAUUAAAUAUAACUUCCAUAAAUAAAUAGACUGGAGGCUACAAGAGAGAUUCUUAGACAGAAAUGCCUGAUAACUGUCAAAGGAACUACUAAAAUAGUUUUAGUCUAAAGCUUUUAUUUCUAGACAACACAGGUAGAUUUGAUGUUUGCUAAUAUGGUUAUCCAGCCCUAAGUAGCAGAAUUAAAGAUUUCUCUAUUAGACACAGAGGAAAAACAAAAGGCUCUUUUGGAAGCUCGCAAAAAUGUGCCAGGGGACGACGGGCGCCCCACCCAACUCACAAAUUUGAUUAACGAAGCUUUUCCUUUAACCCGGCCAAACUGGGACUAUGCGACUGAAGCAGACUCAUUUGCAUGCUUUGCAAUUGGUCCAGAACGAGGUCUGGAAGCCUCUAGCCGCAGCAUACAAAGAGGAACUUAAAACCCCCUUGCUGCCACAUCCCUUCAAGGUCGGAGAUACCGUCUGGGUACGCAGGCACCAGAGCAGGAACCUCGAACUGCGGUGGAAAGGACCCUACACUAUCCUGCUGACCACUCCUACUGCACUCAAAGUGGACGGCAUCGCUGCUUAGAUCCAUGCUUCCCACGUGAAGACUGCACAUCCACAGGAGUCCGCAGACACCUCUCCGGAUCCAGAAUGGAAGUUGCAACGUACCCAAAAUCCGCUAAAGAUAAGACUCACUCGCUGUUAAUUUUUCUUGCUUUGUGCUGUGUCUUCCCCAUAUCAGUUAACCCCAACCAAUCUGUGAGCCAGACAUGACAAGUAUUAUCGGGGACAAGAAAUAUAAUUUAAAAAAAAAAAAAAAAAAAAAAACAGGAUCCCCCACUUUCUGCCGACUCUUGCAGGAGCCUGAAAUGGUACGGGGCAGGGCCAUGUACCGCAUUUGCCUGCAACCCCUUAAACAUUACCUUUACUCAGGCAGGCAAAGCAUCAAAAAAUUGGAUAAAAAAAAAAAACAAUGGGGCCUGAGAGUAUAUCAUAAAACUGCCUAUGACCCUGGGGUCCUAUUCAAAAUUAGAUUAAUAGUAAAUACCAACCCCCAACCAGUAUGCUGAGCCGUCAGCUGAAAUAAUGCUGGAAUCCGAGCAGAUGGGUCAAUGGAUAUAAGAUUAUAUCCAUGAUAUAAAAAAAGGGGGGAAUGAAGGACCCCAAGGCCCCAGGCCCAACAUUAGGAAAACUAACCCCUGUGCCCUGAAGCUGCAAGAUGUUCCAUAUAGAUAACCCCGGAAGGGCCAAACUUGAGCAAACAGGGUAAAAACAGGAACUAAAAGGACAGGAUGCAAUUUUAUGGUUUUUCUGAGAACUAAAGUGGGAAAACAAGUUUACCCCCCUAGGUGACUCAACUGCUGAAUUCAGAGGGACCAAUAGGAAGGCUGUUGCUGUGCUAAGCUAAGACCUAACCCACCUGUCCCCUAUAAAAGAUCUAUACCCCAAAGCCCGGUGUGCCAGUUCACCGAAGCUCCGGCUGAGGUUUUGCUGUGCACCCGCAGGCGCCUGUGUGAGAAUAAACGCCUCCUGCUUUUUGCA